rnacentral:rRNA from 1 species
GGGCGGCAAGCCUGAUGCAGCCAUGCCGCGUGUGUGAAGAAGGCCUUCGGGUUGUAAAGCACUUUCAGCAGUGAGGAAGGCGGAGUCGUUAAUAGCGGCCUCGUUUGACGUUAGCUGCAGAAGAAGCACCGGCUAACUCCGUGCCAGCAGCCGCGGUAAUACGGAGGGUGCGAGCGUUAAUCGGAAUUACUGGGCGUAAAGCGCAUGCAGGUGGUUUGUUAAGUCAGAUGUGAAAGCCCGGGGCUCAACCUCGGAAUAGCAUUUGAAACUGGCAGACUAGAGUACUGUAGAGGGGGUAGAAUUUCAGGUGUAGCGGUGAAAUGCGUAGAGAUCUGAAGGAAUACCAGUGGCGAAGGCGGCCCCCUGGACAAAGACUGACGCUCAGAUGCGAAAGCGUGGGGAGCAAACAGGAUUAGAUACCCUGGUAG